AGGGGAUUCAAAAUGAACGUGAACAUCAAUUCCUCCCGGCGUAACCAUAAGCCCUUCCGCGGACACGACUUCUGUGGCACACCCGAUAAUCAAGCCCGGUGUAAUAUUCAUAGUAUCCGGGUUUCCCGCCUUUCCGACACCAACAACCUUUCCGUCUUUAAUCCCGAUGUCUCCUUUGAUGACGCCCAGCAUCGGAUCGAUAAUGAUGGCAUUUGUCACACAGACAUCCAGCACCCCGUCUUCCGUGGUUUUGCCGGACAUAUUUCCCAUUCCAUCCCG
rnacentral:sRNA from 1 species